UACGUAGGUGGCAAGCGUUGUCCGGAAUUAUUGGGCGUAAAGAGCUCGUAGGUGGCCUGUUGCGUCCGCUGUGAAAACUCAGGGCUUAACCCUGAGCCGGCAGUGGAUACGGGCAGGCUAGAGGUAGGUAGGGGAGAAUGGAAUUCCUGGUGUAGCGGUGAAAUGCGCAGAUAUCAGGAGGAACACCGGUGGCGAAGGCGGUUCUCUGGGCCUUACCUGACACUGAGGAGCGAAAGCGUGGGGAGCGAACAGG
rnacentral:rRNA from 1 species